CUAAAUCCGGGGCACCUGACGUUUAGCGCCCGGAGUGGGGCGAGGAAGGGAACGGACAAAAGGCCCUGCAAGUGACUGAGGGCCCAGCGCCCCGCCGACCGCAAUGGAGCCCAGGUCCCUACGGAGCCCGAACUCCCUGCAUGGCCUCUCUUGCAUCCAUCCGCCCUAGCUGAGUUGCCUGGGAGCCGGAGGGGAGGGCGGCGCGACGCGGAGCCAGCCCACGGCCGCUCGGCCGCUGCGCUACGACGGACCGCGCCCGCUGAGGCCCCGGCCGCCCCUGGGGCCUCAGCCCAGUCAGCAUACUCAGAUCCAACAGGAAAAGCAUUAUAACCACAUCCUAUGAAGUACAUUGCUCCUGUUCCAUCACAACUUCUCUAUGAAAAAUUUUCCUUCUGCCCAGAUGACUGCUCCAACUCCCGUUUUAUGAUCCUCUGAAAGAUACAUGGCAUG